CGCACAUUGCGCCCCUCGGUAUUCCGUGGGGCAUGCCUGUUCGAGCGUCAUUUACACCCUCAAGCCUCGCUUGGUGUUGGGCGUCUGUCCCGCUCUCGUAGCGCGGACUCGCCUCAAAGUCAUUGGCGGCGGUCGUGCCGGCCCCUCGCGCAGCACAUUUGCGCUUCUCGGAGGCCUGGCGGAUCAGCAUCCAGCAAGCUAUUUCAUGACUUGACCUCGGAUCAGGUAGGGAUACCCGCUGAACUUAA
rnacentral:misc_RNA from 1 species